GACGAACGCUGGCGGCGUGCUUAACACAUGCGAGUCGAACGGAAAGGCCCUGCUUUUGUGGGGUGCUCGAGUGGCGAACGGGUGAGUAACACGUGAGUAACCUGCCCUUGACUUUGGGAUAACUUCAGGAAACUGGGGCUAAUACCGGAUAGGAGCUCCUGCUGCAUGGUGGGGGUUGGAAAGUUUCGGCGGUUGGGGAUGGACUCGCGGCUUAUCAGCUUGUUGGUGGGGUAGUGGCUUACCAAGGCUUUGACGGGUAGCCGGCCUGAGAGGGUGACCGGCCACAUUGGGACUGAGAUACGGCCCAGACUCCUACGGGAGGCAGCAGUGGGGAAUAUUGCACAAUGGGCGGAAGCCUGAUGCAGCAACGCCGCGUGCGGGAUGACGGCCUUCGGGUUGUAAACCGCUUUCGCCUGUGACGAAGCGUCAGUGACGGUAAUGGGUAAAGAAGCACCGGCUAACUACGUG
rnacentral:rRNA from 1 species